GCAAAAAAAAAAAAAGAAAAAGAGAAAGAAAAAGAAAAAGAAAAACAGCUCCC
rnacentral:ribozyme from 1 species